rnacentral:rRNA from 1 species
GACGAACGCUGGCGGCGUGCUUAACACAUGCAAGUCGAACGGAAAGGCCCUGCUUUUGUGGGGUGCUCGAGUGGCGAACGGGUGAGUAACACGUGAGUAACCUGCCCUUGACUUUGGGAUAACUUCAGGAAACUGGGGCUAAUACCGGAUAGGAGCUCCUGCUGCAUGGUGGGGGUUGGAAAGUUUCGGCGGUUGGGGAUGGACUCGCGGCUUAUCAGCUUGUUGGUGGGGUAGUGGCUUACCAAGGCUUUGACGGGUAGCCGGCCUGAGAGGGUGACCGGCCACAUUGGGACUGAGAUACGGCCCAGACUCCUACGGGAGGCAGCAGUGGGGAAUAUUGCACCAUGGGCGGAAGCCUGAUGCAGCAACGCCGCGUGCGGGAUGAAGGCCUUCGGGUUGUAAACCGCUUUCGCCUGUGACGAAGCGUGAGUGACGGUAAUGGGUAAAGAAGCACCGGCUAACUACGUG